rnacentral:rRNA from 1 species
UACAGAGGUCUCAAGCGUUGUCCGGAUUUAUUGGGCGUAAAGAGCGUGUAGGCGGCUAGGUAGGUCCGUUGUGAGAACUCGAGGCUCAACCUCGAGACGCCGAUGGAAACCAUCUGGCUAGAGUCCGGAAGAGGAGAGUGGAAUUCCUGGUGUAGCGGUGAAAUGCGCAGAUAUCAGGAAGAACACCCGUGGCUAAGGCGGCUCUCUAGUACGGUACUGACGCUGAGACGCGAAAGCGUGGGGAGCGAACAGG